rnacentral:lncRNA from 1 species
CCACAAUUAAUAAUAGUUACUACAUUCGUACAGAAUAUGACUCAAAUAAUAAAAUAUAUUAAUAUUAAUUAAAAAAAACAUAAUGUAUCUCAUUGAUCUUAACAAACAAAAGGAAGUACUAAUCAAAAAUAUUAAUAUCACAGUAAUUUAAACAUAAAAAAUAUAUUAUUGAGGCUAAAUAACUAAUGUCAUUAUAUAACUAAUCCAGACGAAUGAUGGGUCUUCAAAUGGUUUCCACAACUUUUCGUCAUUUUGAACUCUUUCACCAGCUAAAUUAUUCAACAUCAGACAAUAUAACCUGAAAUUAUAAAAUAAUUGUGUCAAAAGUUAAAGUAUAAUGUGAAAACAUAUCUUGAACAUUCCAUUCAAUCAAGAAGCAAAACUGAAAACAAGAAUUAAACAAAUGCUUUCCAAAGUGCAACUAAACGACAACAGUAUAUGUCGAUGACAACAUAUGUAGAUUGCCCCAACCACAAUAAGGAAGAGGAAAGCCUCAUAUUAAAAUAACAACAGCAGCAUCUAAAGAUGACAACUUGCCAGAUACAACACUUGAGAAAACUUACUACACUGGUUAAACAUACCAACCAUUUUUACACAAACUCAAGAACAGAAAAAAAUCAGACAAAACAACACCACAAAGGAAAUCAGAAAGUGUCUUUGUAGCUACUAUUAUAAAGCAGAAUACUGAUCAUUUUCUUGCUACAGAAUAUGAUAGUCAUGAGAAAAGUGAAAGAACAAUCAAUAAAGACCCACGUCAAGAUCAUUGUCAUUUUCCCUAUUAAAAAGAAAGAAUAUAGUACCCUCACCUGAAAAGCAGAAGUCUUUUUGCAAGUGAGUUUAACUUUGCUUUGAAUCUUGGCAGAUUUUAGGACCUAAAAGUUAUUGGCAUACAAAAAGCAUUCCCCACUCAUGUUACUCAUCUUAUAGUAUAGUAUAUAUAAGCUAUCAUCAUUCCACUUAUUUAAUAUAAAGGGUGGCCAACUAAGUUCCUUCUAUGCGUGGGCUAUCUGCAGAAUAUUCAAGAAAACCAACUCAAUGGCAAAUAGAUCUCUUUCUUACUCUUGGAUAAAUCCAUUAUCUGAAGUAGAAUCUCCAGAGGUGUUUAAUCAAAGUACUACUGUUCAUUUUGGCUCGCCGAAUAUCUCUUCUUUAACUUACGCUGCAUCACUUCUCCACUUAACCAGUAAGAAUGACUUAGCCUCAAAUAUUAAUCAGUAGAAAUAGAUGGGGAAAAUGGGUUUAUGAUUCUUCUGUAGAUUAGUUUGGAAGGCCUCCCUCUUCAUCAUUGGUAAGUAUCUAUCCAACAAAUGGAAUGCAUGCAUGCAAUAACUUGAAUUAUGUAUCUAAUUUUUCUCCGUCUAAUGAUUUAUAAUUACUUAAUGAUAAAGAAAUUUUGGAAUGACUUCUUUAGUUUAGAUUAUUCAUAAUAUACAAUUAUCUAUCCUGUAAGUUCCAGUCUUAAGCUAUCCAUAGAACUAAAGAUAAAAAAGAGCUCUAGCUUAUUGUAAGCAAUCAUGAGCUUAACACUAGCUAGAAUAUAUGCUUCUAACAUAUACAAGUGAUGUUGGUGAAAUACCAAAUUACAAUUCACUCUCUUAAAAAUACAAAUCAAAACUAGGUUUCAGGUCUGUUAAUUAUUCUAUUUCCAUGAUGCUCACAGCUGCAUGAUUGAAAUAAAGUAAGUAAUAACAAGAGGUAGGAGUCAAGUUACUAUUAUUAUAUUGUAAGUUUGACAACUGCGUGGUCUUUAACAAGGAAAGAAGACCCUUAAUACUAUUGUUUCAAGACCAUCUUUUCUUUCAAGUCCUAGUACUGAAGUUCCUUGUAACUUCAUGUUUUUGUCGCCUGAGGUUUCCAUGUUUUUCAACACAUCCCCCGCCAUAACUUCUGAGACUAUUUUUCAACAUAUCCCCCGCGUUAACUUCUGAGACUAUUGAUUUUGAAGGUUCGAAUAAACAGAUGAAUAGCUUCUCAAUUGGUUCAUGACAAGAGAUGCAAAGAAGUAUAUGAAUGGAAGAUAAUGAAGCAGGGUUAAGGAGUAAUCAAGAUUCAACAAAUGAUAAUAUUACUCAAUGGGAAAACAUCAAAUCAAUUGGAUUUCCUUUCAGUUUGACAACUAGUUUGGCUGAUAAAUGGAAGCCAAGUUUGAGUUGGGAUUCUUCUUCAUGUCCUAGUGAGAUAUCAACCACUUACGACUCAACAAACAAAUGGUACACCUAAUUCAACACCCAAACAAAGAACCUCCUGGCCUUAUGUACAACUAGUUCUUCUUUAUUUUCACUAUCAGCAUCCAGUAUCCGAAUUAGUUUGUCUCAGAUAUAGGACGCUAAAAGAAAAAAAUGGAAGAAGAAAACCUAGUCAUAGCACUGAAAAAACAGUGAGGCUUUUGGGAUCAAUCAGGCACAAAAACAUAGUGAGGCUUUUGGGAUGUUGUAAUAACGGCAAAACAAGAUUGUUCUUGUUUGAUUACAUUAGUCAUGGGAGUUUAGCAGGACUGCUACAUGAGAAAAAAGUAUUUCUAGAUUAGGAUGCUAGGUAUAAUAUCAUAUUAAGAGAAGCUCAAGAUUUAGCUUAUCUUCACCAUGAUUGUAUUCCUCCUAUAGUCCAUCGCGAUAUCAAGGCCAAUAAUAUUUUGGUUGGUCCACAGUUUGAAGCUUUUCUUGCAGACUUUGGACUUGCAGAAAAAAGAACAUGUUCAGAGUAAAUACAAUAAAGAUGCAUUUACAUGAUCACUGCAUUUAUAUUGUCACCAGAAUUGACCAUCUGCAAGUCAUAUGAAAUAAAGAUUUCAAGUGACAAUCUAAAAGCACACAAUCGUCUAACAUGAAAGCUCAAUUAGUCCAUGCUUAUUAAAGGAUCUAAAAAUCUUUGUCCAUGCUACAUACAUCGUUUCAUACAGAAUACGAAUCCCAUGUACAAGAGCAUUAACCUCGGCAACUAUAUGAGUUUCUUUCCCAAAAAUUUGUUUAUACAUAGGAGAAAUUUAGAUAUAAGAGAUAAGUGGCCAAAACAAACUUCCUAAAUCAGGAUUUUCUACAUCCAAAUAAUAACAUGACUUUUGCCAGAUUAAUGUACACAUAAUUUAUUGUAAAUCAAUCGACAAGAAUCAAUCCAAAAUCUACUAUAAACCGAUUGCACGCGACUGAUUUAACAGGGGGAAAAGAAAAGUUAACAGGGGAAGAAGAUGGACGGGCACUACGACAGGCUGUUGAACAGCGAGUUAGGAACUGAAUUACUGUAAAUCAAUAGACCAACAUUGAUACAAAAUCUACUAUAAAUCUAUUGGAAGAAGAGAAAUUAAUUUACUAUAAGUCGAUUCUACUGUAAAUCAAUUCUACUGUAAAUCAAAGAGAACAAAGUUUACCUAGGAAAAAGAUGGGCUGCCGUUGACGCACUCGCACUGCCGUUGAUACACUAUAAAUUGCACCUCCAUUGACGCAAUAGCGAGUUAGGUUUUUUCGGCAGCAAAGUCGAUUCAAGAGGGAAAUCGAUUCUACUGUAAAUCAAUUGUAAAUCGAAGAGAAGAGAAUUAACCUGGAAAAAGGUAGGAUGCCGUUGACGCACUCGCGCUGCCGUUGAUGCACUGUAAAUCGCACUGCCGUUGACGCAGCAACCUGUUAGGUUUUUUCAGCAGCGAUUUAGGAUGUUUUAUUGUUUUUCAUUCAUUUGGGGAGUGAGGUUUUUAGUUCUAUUGUUUUCUAAUUGGGGAGGGAAACAUAAGGUUUUUAGUUUUAUUGUUUUCUAAUUGGGGAGGGAAACAAAAAAGGUAUCAAAA